GGGAUAUUGCACAAUGGGGGGAACCCUGAUGCAGCGACGCCGCGUGGGCGAUGGAGUGCUUCGGCAUGUAAAGCCCUAUCAGCAGGGAAGAAAAUGACGGUACCUGACUAAGAAGCCCCGGCUAAAUACGUGCCAGCAGCCGCGGUAAUACGUAUGGGGCAAGCGUUAUCCGGAUUUACUGGGUGUAAAGGGAGCGUAGGCGGCCUGGCAAGCCUGAUGUGAAAUACCGGGGCCCAACCCCGGGACUGCAUUGGAAACUGCCAGGCUGGAGUGUCGGAGGGGCAGGCGGAAUUCCUAGUGUAGCGGUGAAAUGCGUAGAUAUUAGGAGGAACACCGGUGGCGAAGGCGGCCUGCUGGACGACAACUGACGCUGAGGCUCGAAAGCGUGGGGAGCAAACAG
rnacentral:rRNA from 1 species